CCUUUCCUGUGGCUCAGUUGGUAGAACAUUGCGCUAACAAUGCAAAGGUCAUGGGUUAAAAUCCAAAGGAAGGCA